rnacentral:tRNA from 1 species
GCAGAGAUGUCUGAGUGGUUUAAGGAGCACGAUUGGAAAUCGUGUGUAGGUUGAAAGCUUACCGGAGGUUCGAAUCCUCUUCUCUGCGCCA